AGAACGAACGCUGGCGGCACGCCUAACACAUGCAAGUCGAGCGCCCAGCAAUGGGAGCGGCGGACGGGUGAGUAACACGUGGGAACAUGCCUUUCGGUACGGAACAACUGCGGGAAACUGCAGCUAAUGCCGUAUACGCCCUUACGGGGAAAGAUUUAUCGCCGAAAGAUUGGCCCGCGUCUGAUUAGCUAGUUGGUGAGGUAACGGCUCACCAAGGCUUCGAUCAGUAGCUGGUUUGAGAGAACGACCAGCCACAUUGGGACUGAGACACGGCCCAAACUCCUACGGGAGGCAGCAGUGGGGAAUCUUGGACAAUGGGGAAACCCUGAUCCAGCGAUGCCGCGUGAGUGAUGAAGGCUUCGGGUUGUAAAACUCUUUCGACGGGGACGAUAAUGACGGUACCCGUAGAAGAAGACUCCGGCUAACCUCGUGCCAGCAGCCGC
rnacentral:rRNA from 1 species